rnacentral:rRNA from 1 species
AUUGAACGCUGGCGGCUGGCCUAACACAUGCAAGUCGAACGAGUGGCGGACGGGUGAGUAAUGUCUGGGAAACUGCCCGAUGGAGGGGGAUAACUACUGGAAACGGUAGCUAAUACCGCAUACCAUCGGAUGUGCCCAGAUGGGAUUAGCUAGUAGGUGGGGUAACGGCUCACCUCGGCGACGAUCCCUAGCGGGUCUGAGAGGAUGACCAGCAACACUGGAAAUGAUACACGGUCGAGAGUCCUACGUGAGGCAGCAGUGGGGAAUAUUGCACAAAGGGCGCAAGCCUGAUGCAGCCAUGCCGCGUGUAUGAAGAAGGCCUUCGGGUUGUAAAGUACUUUCAGCGAGGAGGCGUUACUCGCAGAAGAAGCACCGGCUAACUCCGUGCCAGCAGCCGCGGUAGUUG